rnacentral:rRNA from 1 species
UACAGAGGUCCCAAGCGUUGUUCGGAUUUACUGGGCGUAAAGGGUGCGUAGGCGGUCGGGUAAGUCUGGUGUGAAAUCUUCGAGCUUAACUCGGAAACUGCAUUGGAUACUAUUCGGCUAGAGAGUUGGAGGGGGGAUUGGAAUACUUGGUGUAGCAGUGAAAUGCGUAGAGAUCGGGAGGAACAUCAGUUGCGAAGGCGGCUCUCUGGACCAGCACUGACACUGAGGCACGAAAGCGUGGGGAGCAAACAGG